rnacentral:rRNA from 1 species
GAUGAACGCUGGCGGCGUGCCUAAUACAUGCAAGUCGAGCGAACAUUUUUUGAGCUUGAGCCUCUGACGUUACCGGCAAACGGGUGAGUGACACACGGAUAACCUACCUAUAGGACAGGUAUCACUUAGAGGAGCCGGAGCUAAGGAAAGAGGAUAUAAUGAAGCACAAGGUUCGAUAGUGCAAGGCGAUUUUGUUAUCGCUUAUAGAUGUAUCCGCGGCGCAUUAGCUAGUUGGUAAGGUAACGGCUUACCAAGGCAACGAUGCGUAGCCGAAUUGAGAGGGUGAUCGGCCACAUUGGAACUGAGACACGGCCCAGACUCCUACGGGAGGCAGCAGUAGGGAAUCUUCCGCAAUGGGCGAAAGCCUGAUGGAGCAACGCCGCGUGAGUGAUGAAGGUCUUCGGAUCGUAAAACCCUGUUAUUAGGGAAGAAAAAACGUGUAAGUAACUAUGCACGUCUCGACGGUACCUAACCAGAAAGCCACGGCUAACUACGUG